rfam:Schistosoma margrebowiei strain Zambia genome assembly, scaffold: SMRZ_contig0005967
AUUCAGCUGAUGAGUCUCAAAGAAAACGAAACGCGCGUCCUCGAU